rnacentral:rRNA from 1 species
CACGUAGGGCGCAAGCGUUGUCCGGAAUCAUUGGGCGUAAAGCGCGCGUAGGCGGUCAGGUAAGUCCGGUGUGAAAGUCAAAGGCUCAACCUUUGAAUGCCGCUGGAUACUGCUUGACUUGAGUCCGGAAGGGGCGAGUGGAAUCCUGGUGUAGCGGUGAAAUGCGCAGAUAUCAGGAGGAACACCAAUGGCGAAGGCAGCUCGCUGGAACGGUACUGACGCUGAGGCGCGAAAGCGUGGGGAGCGAACAGG